rnacentral:rRNA from 1 species
GAUGAACGCUAGCGGCAGGCUUAAUACAUGCAAGUCGAGGGCAGCAUGACUGUAGCAAUACAGUUGAUGGCGACCGGCAAACGGGUGCGGAACACGUACGCAAUCUACCCAUAACUGAUGAAUAGCCCUCCGAAAGGAGGAUUAAUACAUCGUAACGUAUUGAAGUGGCAUCACUUUAUUACUAUAGCUCCGGCGGUUUUGGAUGAGCGUGCGGCU